CGUGCUAUUUACAUGUGGGAUCGAGAAUGCAGGGGAAGGAAACUUGUCAAUUAUGUUUAUUUCUAAGCCAAAAUAAAAUGAGCCGCCGUAAAAUUAACCUUGGGUAAUAACAGUGCAUGUAAGGCUCGUCUCGGAGGGGUGUCUUUUUUCUGUCUUCUUUUUAUGCCCCACCUACGAUAGUAGAGGGGCAUUAUGUUUUCUGGUCUGUGCCUCCGUUCGUUCGUCCGUUCGUUCGUCCUGUUUCAGGUUAAAGUUUUUGGUCGAGGUAGUUUUUGAUGAAGUUGAAGUCCAAUCAACCUGAAACUUAGUAUAUAUGUUCCUUAUGGUAUGAUCUUUCUAAUUUUAAUGUCAAAUUAGAGUUCUUACCCCAAUUUCACGGUCCACUGAACAUAGAAAAUGAUAGUGCGAGUGGGGCAUCCGUGUACUGGGGACACAUUCUUGUUUUUAGUUAUAUUUUUAAUAACUUACACUUUUUUUCCAUUAUUCUCUUUCUUUCACUAUUCUUUAUUCCUUUUUUUUCUUUGUCCUUUGUUCUCUAUUCUGUUAAUUCACAUC
rnacentral:lncRNA from 1 species